GAGUGUGAGAAGUAGGCAAAUCCGCUUCUCGCGAAGCAUGAGCUGUGAUGGGGAAGGAAAUUAAGUACGGAAGUUCCUGAUUUCACGCUGUCAAGAAAAGCCUCUAGGAAGAGUAGUACUGCCCGUACCGCAAACCGACACAGGUAGAUGAGGAGAGAAUCCUAAGGUGAGCGAGAGAACUCUCGUUAAGGAACUCGGCAAAAUGACCCCGUAACUUCGGGAGAAGGGGUGCUCUAUUAGGGUGCAAGCCCGAGAGAGCCGCAGUGAAUAGGCCCAGGCGACUGUUUAGCAAAAACACAGGUCUCUGCAAAACCGUAAGGUGACGUAUAGGGGCUGACGCCUGCCCGGUGCUGGAAGGUUAAGAGGAGUGCUUAGCUUCGGCGAAGGUACGAAUUGAAGCCCCAGUAAACGGCGGCCGUAACUAUAACGGUCCUAAGGUAGCGAAAUUCCUUGUCGGGUAAGUUCCGACCCGCACGAAAGGCGCAACGAUCUGGGCACUGUCUCAACGAGAGACUCGGUGAAAUUAUAGUACCUGUGAAGAUGCAGGUUACCCGCGACAGGACGGAAAGACCCCGUGGAGCUUUACUGCAACCUGAUAUGGAAUGUUUGUACCGCUUGUACAGGAUAGGUAGGAGCCGAAGAGACGUGUGCGCUAGCAUACGAGGAGGCAAUGGUGGGAUACUACCCUGGCUGUAUGACCAUUCUAACCCGCCACGCUUAGCGCGUGGGGAGACAGUGUCAGGUGGGCAGUUUGACUGGGGCGGUCGCCUCCUAAAGAGUAACGGAGGCGCCCAAAGGUUCCCUCAGAAUGGAUGGAAAUCAUUCGCAGAGUGUAAAGGCACAAG
rnacentral:rRNA from 1 species